GUGUAAGUGUGUUAGGGCGCAUGGUGGAUGCCUUGGCAUCAGGGGCCGAUGAAGGACGUGGGAGGCUGCGAUAUGCCUCGGGGAGUUGUCAACCGAGCGUGGAUCCGAGGAUGUCCGAAUGGGGUAACCCGGCACCAGUGAUGUGGUGUCACCCACCGUUGAAUGUAUAGGCGGUGGGGGGGAACGCGGGGAAGUGAAACAUCUCAGUACCCGUAGGAGAAGAAAACAAGUGUGAUUCCGUUAGUAGUGGCGAGCGAACGCGGAGGAUGGCUAAACCGCGCGCAUGUGUGACCGGGUAGGGGUUGUGUGUGCGGGGUUGUGGGAUUGGUACGUCUUAGCUCUACCUGGCUAAGGGGUAGUCAGAAAGUGUUGUGGUUAGCGGAAGUGGCCUGGGAUGGUCUGCCGUAGACGGUGAGAGCCCGGUACGUGAAAACCCGACGCCUGCCUUGUAUCAAUACCCGAGUAGCAGCGGGCCCGUGGAAUCUGCUGUGAAUCUGCCGGGACCACCCGGUAAGCCUGAAUACUUCCUGAUGACCGAUAGCGGAUGAGUACCGUGAGGGAAUGGUGAAAAGUACCCCGGGAGGGGAGUGAAAGAGUACCUGAAACCGUGUGCCUACAAUCCGUCAGAGCCCUCCCUUUGUGGUGGGGUGAUGGCGUGCCUUUUGAAGAAUGAGCCUGCGAGUCACUGACAUGUCGCGAGGUUAACCCGUUGUGGGGUAGCCGCAGCGAAAGCGAGUCUGAAUAGGGCGUAUCCCCGGCAGCGAUGUGGGGGUGUAGUGGUGUGUUGUGGACCCGAAGCGGAGUGAUCUACCCAUGGCCAGGGUGAAGCGCGGGUAAGACCGCGUGGAGGCCCGAACCCACUUAGGUUGAAGACUGAGGGGAUGAGUUGUGGGUAGGGGUGAAAGGCCAAUCAAACUCCGUGAUAGCUGGUUCUCCCCGAAAUGCAUUUAGGUGCAGCGUCGCAUGGUUCACUGCGGAGGUAGAGCUACUGGAUGGCCGAUGGGCCCUACUAGGUUACUGACGUCAGCCAAACUCCGAAUGCCGUAGUGGUGAGUGUGGCAGUGAGACGGCGGGGGAUAAGCUCCGUGCGUCGAAAGGGAAACAGCCCAGAUCGCCGGCUAAGGCCCCUAAGCGUGUGCUAAGUGGGAAAGGAUGUGCAGUCGCAAAGACAACCAGGAGGUUGGCUUAGAAGCAGCCAUCCUUGAAAGAGUGCGUAAUAGCUCACUGGUCAAGUGAUUGUGCGCCGAUAAUGUAGCGGGGCUCAAGCACACCGCCGAAGCCGCGGCAACCUGCAAGUAAUUGUGGGUUGGGUAGGGGAGCGUCCCCUCACCAGCGAAGCAGCAGAGUGAUCUAGCUGUGGAGGUGUGGGGAGUGAGAAUGCAGGCAUGAGUAGCGAUAAGGCAAGUGAGAACCUUGCCCGCCGAAAGACCAAGGGUUCCUGGGCCAGGCCAGUCCGCCCAGGGUGAGUCGGGACCUAAGGCGAGGCCGACAGGCGUAGUCGAUGGACAACGGGUUGAUAUUCCCGUACCCGUGUGUGCGCGCCCGUACCGAAUCAGCGGUACUAACCACCCAAAACCUCGCUGACCGUGCCCUUUCGGGGGUGUGGCGGUGGGGGGCUGCGUGGGAUCUUCGCUGGUAGUAGGUAAGCGAUGGGGUGACGCAGGAAGGUAGCCGUACCAGCCGAUGGUAGUGCUGGGGCAAGCCGGUAGGACGAACGAUAGGCAAAUCCGUCGUUCAUACAAGUCCGAGAGGUGAUGCAUAGCCGAUUGGGGUGAAUUCGGUGAUCCUAUGCUGCCGAGAAAAGCCUCUAGCGAGUGCGCACACGGCCCGUACCCCAAACCGACACAGGUGGUCAGGUAGAGAAUACCGAGGCGUACGAGUGAACUAUGGUUAAGGAACUCGGCAAAAUGCCCCCGUAACUUCGGGAGAAGGGGGACCGGACUAUCGUGAACCCACGAGCUGGGGGAGCGGGAUCCGGUGGCACAAACCAGUGAGAAGCGACUGUUUACUAAAAACACAGGUCCGUGCGAAGUCGCAAGACGAGGUAUACGGACUGACGCCUGCCCGGUGCUGGAAGGUUAAGAGGACCGGUUAACCGGAGCGAUCCGGUGAAGCUGAGAAUUUAAGCCCCAGUAAACGGCGGUGGUAACUAUAACCAUCCUAAGGUAGCGAAAUUCCUUGUCGGGUAAGUUCCGACCUGCACGAAUGGCGUAACGACUUCUCAACUGUCUCAACCAUAGACUCGGCGAAAUUGCACUACGAGUAAAGAUGCUCGUUACGCGCGGCAGGACGAAAAGACCCCGGGACCUUCACUACAACUUGGUAUUGAUGUUCGAUGCGGUUUGUGUAGGAUAGGUGGGAGACUGUGAAACCAGAACGCCAGUUUUGGUGGAGUCGUUGUUGAAAUACCACUCUGAUCGUAUUGGACCUCUAACCUCGAACCCUGAACCGGGUUCAGGGACAGUGCCUGGCGGGUAGUUUAACUGGGGCGGUUGCCUCCCAAAAUGUAACGGAGGCGCCCAAAGGUUCCCUCAACCUGGACGGCAAUCAGGUGUCGAGUGCAAGUGCACAAGGGAGCUUGACUGCAAGACCCACACGUCAAGCAGGGACGAAAGUCGGGACUAGUGAUCCGGCACCCCCGAGUGGAAGGGGUGUCGCUCAACGGAUAAAAGGUACCCCGGGGAUAACAGGCUGAUCUUCCCCAAGAGUCCAUAUCGACGGGAUGGUUUGGCACCUCGAUGUCGGCUCGUCGCAUCCUGGGGCUGGAGCAGGUCCCAAGGGUUGGGCUGUUCGCCCAUUAAAGCGGCACGCGAGCUGGGUUUAGAACGUCGUGAGACAGUUCGGUCUCUAUCCGCCGCGCGCGUCAGAAGCUUGAGGAAACCUGUCCCUAGUACGAGAGGACCGGGACGGACGAACCUCUGGUGCACCAGUUGUCCCGCCAGGGGCACCGCUGGAUAGCCACGUUCGGCCAGGAUAACCGCUGAAAGCAUCUAAGCGGGAAACCUUCUCCAAGACCAGGCUUCUCACCCAUACAGUGGGAUAAGGCCCCCCGCAGACCACGGGAUCAAUAGACCAGACCUACACACCCGGCAACGGGCUCAGGGAACUGGCACUAACCGGCCGAAAACUUACCCACA
rnacentral:rRNA from 1 species